rnacentral:rRNA from 1 species
UACAGAGGGUGCGAGCGUUGUCCGGAAUCACUGGGCGUAAAGGGCGCGUAGGCGGCCUGGCAAGUCUGUGGUGAAAGCUCGUGGCUCAACUGCGAGUCGGCCAUAGAUACUGCGAGGCUCGAGUCGACUAGAGGCAGAUGGAAUUCCGGGUGUAGCGGUGGAAUGCGUAGAGAUCCGGAAGAACACCGGUGGCGAAGGCGGUCCACUGGCUCGAUACUGACGCUGAGGUGCGAAAGCGUGGGGAGCAAACAGG